AGCUGAGCAAGUGCAUAGACGACGAUAAAUAGCUUUGCACGAAAUGAAGAGGAGCGAAGCGCUUAAUAUCGGUAUUUGCCGAGCUUUGAGAACAUCUAAAUUUUUGAAUGGAUGAAAACAUCUUACAACAUGCACAGGCUGUCCUGAGAGACUAUUAAAGGAGGAUUGUUAGAGAGGAAUAUGCCAACAAGAACUGCAAUUAGGAGUCGUUGACAGGAGGAAACUUUAAAAAGAGACCACACACUACCUUAUCAA